rnacentral:lncRNA from 1 species
UUGGUAUAAAGAUCAAAUUUAAGUAAGUAUCACCGACCGUCCCUAGAGCAAGUGACAAAACGUUUGGUGGUUGGUAUCCGAGACCCAAGUUUGAAUUCUAAUUGAUCCACAUUUUUAACUAAGUUUAUUUCUAAGUGAAAUAAACGAAGCGGGUAGCGUGCUAUCUAUUUCUCAAAAAAAAAAAAAAAAAAAAUUAUCCAGGAACAAGGGUACCAAAUUUAAUAUAAUCUAAUUGAUUACCCACAUCCUUUAACAUAACUACUUUUUUCUUUUAAGAACAAUUUGCAUAAUUAUUUAAUUAGCAACUC